CCUAACACCCGAGAACUACAAACAAAAGUUUAAAACUCAAAGGACUUGGCGGUAUUUUAGACCUACCUGGAGGAGCUUGCCACCUAACCGAUAACCCACGAAAAACCUUACCAGCCUUAGCAACUAACCAACCUGUAUACCAUCGUCGUCAGUCUACCCCACAAGGGAAAAGUAUACAAAAAGAACUACCCUCACUACGUCAGAUCGAGGUGCAGUUAAUAGGCUGGGGGUGAGUGAGCUACAGCAUUAUAACAAAUUAAACACAAUUAUGGACAGCUCAAUGAAAAAUAAACUAGAAACAGGAUUCAGCAGUAAUGUUUAACAGAAAAUACACAUGAAAAACUACCCAG
rnacentral:rRNA from 1 species